AUACGGAGGGUGCAAGCGUUAAUCGGAAUCACUGGGCGUAAAGCGCGCGUAGGCCGCUUUGUAAGUCGGACGUGAAAGCCCUCGGCUCAACCGGGGAACUGCGUUCGAUACUGCGAGGCUUGAGUCCUGGAGAGGGUGGCGGAAUUCCGGGUGUAGGAGUGAAAUCCGUAGAUAUCCGGAGGAACACCGGUGGCGAAGGCGGAACCCGGGACAGGUCCGGACGCUGAGGCGCGAAAGCGUGGGGAGCAAACAGGAUUAGAUACCCUGGUAGUCCACGCCGUAAACGAUGGAUGCUAGGUGUCGGGGAGCGAUCCUCGGUGCCGGAGUUAACGCAUUAAGCAUCCCGCCUGGGGAGUACGGUCGCAAGGCUGAAACUUAAAGGAAUUGACGGGG
rnacentral:rRNA from 1 species